AGGGAUGUAGCACAUCUUGGUAGAGUAUUUGUUUUGGGUACAAAAUGUCGCAGGUUCAAAUCCUGUCAUCCAUA
rnacentral:tRNA from 1 species